GAUAACAAUAAUAGAGUACCAUUGAUAUAGUGAGUAUUUCAGGGUUUUCAAAGGGCUCAUCUGAUCCCCACAGCAGUUCAGUGAGAAGCGGGUGCUGUCAUUAACUCCAUUUUAAAGCUGAGGAAACUGAAGCUUGAAGGAGUUACCCUGUGUCACACCAGCCAGCAAGAGCCUGAGCACUGGAGAGUUUCACAUGGAAGAGAAGCUUUGGGCCCCAGAAGCUGGAUUCAGUCAAGAUGUUAGUGCAAAUUCUAGCUCUACUACU
rnacentral:lncRNA from 1 species